rnacentral:rRNA from 1 species
UACGGAGGAUCCAAGCGUUAUCCGGAUUUAUUGGGUUUAAAGGGUGCGUAGGCGGUUGAUUAAGUCAGCGGUGAAAGUUUGGAGCUCAACUCUAAAAUUGCCGUUGAAACUGGUUAACUUGAGUGCGGUAGAGGUAUGCGGAAUGCGUUGUGUAGCGGUGAAAUGCUUAGAUAUAACGCAGAACCCCAAUUGCGAAGGCAGCAUACUGGACCGUAACUGACGCUGAGGCACGAAAGCGUGGGGAUCAAACAGG